CACGUAGGGCGCGAGCGUUGUCCGGAAUUAUUGGGCGUAAAGAGCUCGUAGGCGGCCUGUUGCGUCCGCUGUGAAAGCCCGGGGCUUAACCCCGGGUCGGCAGUGGAUACGGGCAGGCUAGAGGUAGGUAGGGGAGAAUGGAAUUCCCGGUGUAGCGGAGAAAUGCGCAGAUAUCGGGAGGAACACCGGUGGCGAAGGCGGUUCUCUGGGCCUUACCUGACGCUGAGGAGCGAAAGCGUGGGGAGCGAACAGG
rnacentral:rRNA from 1 species